ACGCUGGCGGCGUGCCUAACACAUGCAAGUCGAACGGAGAUAAGCGCUGAUUUGAUGAAAGCUUGCUUUUUGGAUUUUCUUGCUUAUCUUAGUGGCGGACGGGCGAGUAACGCGUGAGUAACCUGCCCUUCAGAGGGGGAACAACAGCCGGAAACAGCUGCUAAUACCGCAUAACGUGGUCUGACCGCAUGAUCGGAUCAUCAAAGAUUUAUCGCCUGAAGAUGGACUCGCGUCUGAUUAGAUAGUUGGUGGGGUAACGGCUCACCAAGUCGACGAUCAGUAGCCGAACUGAGAGGUUGAUCGGCCACAUUGGGACUGAGACACGGCCCAGACUCCUACGGGAGGCAGCAGUGGGGGAUAUUGCGCAAUGGGGGCAACCCUGACGCAGCAACGCCGCGUGAAGGAUGAAGGUUUUCGGAUCGUAAACUUCUUUAAGUUGGGAAGAUAAUGACGGUACCAACAGAAUAAGCCACGGCUAACUACGUG
rnacentral:rRNA from 1 species